GUGGUCAAGCUAGAAAGGGCACAUGGGGGAUGACUAGGCAUCAGAAGGCUGUGAAGGGCGCGGAAGACUGCGAUAAGCCCGGGGUAACCGUCAAACAGGUGAUGAUCCCGGGAUUCCUGAACAAGCUGCAACUGAAUUCAUAGGUUGCAGCGGCUAACGCGGAGAACUGAAACAUCUCAGUACCCGCAGGAAAAUAAAGAAAACUCGAUUUCCUCAGUAGCGGCGAGCGAAAGGGAAAUAGCCCAAACCGAGGUGGUUUCCACUUCGGGGUUGUAGGGCCCCCGAGGAGUUACAAACAACAGGCUAGCGGAACGACUUGGAAAGGUCGUCCACAGAGGGUGACAGACCCGUACGCGAAAGCUGAGUUGCUCCAUUGAGGGGGUACCCUGAGUAGGUCGAGCCACGUGGAAUCUCGACUGAAUCUACGGGGACCAUCCCGUAAGGCUAAAUACUCUCUGAUGACCGAUAGUGAACUAGUAGCGCGAGCGAAAGUUGAGAAGAACCCCUGUUAGGGGAGGAAUGUGAACCUGAAACCAUGUGCCUACAAGCGGUCGGAGCGCUAUGGCGGAAACGCAAUGCGUGACGGCGUGCCUUUUGCAUAAUGAUCCGGCGAGUUACCGUCAGCGGCUCGGUUAAGGACCUCAGGUCCGUAGCCAAAGGGAAACCGAGUCUGAAUAGGGCGACUAAUUGGUCGCUGGUGGUAGACGCGAAACUGCACGAACUACCCAUGAGCAGGUUGAACCGCGGGUCAAA
rnacentral:rRNA from 1 species